AUCUUCUUAAACUUCAGGUCUGUUAGAAAGUGUGUAAGAAACACACACAAUGAGUCUCCAUUCUGUUAUUCUGCUUUCUGCCUUUGCAUAUGCAACAUAUGGAAAUGAAAUUAAACCAACCAAAACAGAGGAGUUUGCUGGCGAGGGUUCAAGUGUUAAAUUAUCUUGCAGUUAUUCAUCUGCAGACUAUCUUCACUGGUAUCGUCAGUAUCCUGGAUCAGCUCCUGAGUUCAUUGUGCUCAUCGCAGAUGGUGCAAAAAAAGCUGAGGUGUCUAAUGUAGAUUCCAGAUUCACUGCCAAUGUCACCAAAGACAAAGAAAACCAUGUGGAUCUGAUCAUCUCCUCUGCUGCUCUGAAAGACUCUGCUCUGUAUUACUGUGCUCUGCAGCCCACAGUGACAGGAAACACAAGAACACUGUACAAAAACCUGACAUAACUAUAACCCUACUUUCUAAUCAGACUGGAGCACAUAACAAUCAAGAGAA